CCCGGGUUCCAUGGACGAAAGUCUGAACGGAGCAACGCCGCGUGAACGAAUGAAGGCCUUUCGGGAUCGUAAAGUUCUGUUGUUAGGGAAGAACGCUACCAAAAGAACUGCUGGUACCUUGACGGUACCUAACCAAAAAGCCACGGGCUAACUACGUGCCAGCAGCCGCGGUAAUACGUAGGUGGCAAGCGUUGUCCGGAAUUAUUGGGCGUAAAGCGCGCGCAGGUGGUUCCUUAAGUCUGAUGUGAAAUCCCACGGCUCAACCCCGGAUGGUCCUUGGAAACUGGGGACCUUGAGUGCAAAAAAGGAAAGGGGAAUUCCCAGUGUAGCGGUGAAAUGCGUAAAGAUUUGGAGGAACACCAGGGGCGAAGGCGACUUUCUGGUCUGUAACUGACACUGAGGCGCGAAAGCGUGGGGAGAAAACAGGAUUUAGACCCCCCGGGGGA
rnacentral:rRNA from 1 species